UACGGGGGGGGCAAGCGUUGUUCGGAAUUACUGGGCGUAAAGGGCUCGUAGGUGGCCAACUAAGUCAGACGUGAAAUCCCUCAGCUUAACUGGGGAACUGCGUCUGAUACUGGAUGGCUUGAGUUUGGGAGAGGGACGCGGAAUUCCAGGUGUAGCGGUGAAAUGCGUAGAUAUCAAGAGGAACACCUGCGGCGAAGGCGGGUUGCUGGGCCGACACUGACGCUGAUGCGCGAAAGCUAGGGGAGCGAACGGG
rnacentral:rRNA from 1 species